rnacentral:rRNA from 1 species
GGCCCAGACUCCUACGGGAGGCAGCAGUAGGGAAUCUUCCGCAAUGGACGAAAGUCUGACGGAGCAACGCCGCGUGAGUGAUGAAGGUUUUCGGAUCGUAAAACUCUGUUGUCAGGGAAGAACAAGUGCCGUUCGAAUAGGGCGGCACCUUGACGGUACCUGACCAGAAAGCCCCGGCUAACUACGUGCCAGCAGCCGCGGUAAUACGUAGGGGGCAAGCGUUGUCCGGAAUUAUUGGGCGUAAAGCGCGCGCAGGCGGUCCUUUAAGUCUGAUGUGAAAGCCCACGGCUUAACCGUGGAGGGCCAUUGGAAACUGGAGGACUUGAGUACAGAAGAGGAGAGUGGAAUUCCACGUGUAGCGGUGAAAUGCGUAGAGAUGUGGAGGAACACCAGUGGCGAAGGCGACUCUCUGGUCUGUAACUGACGCUGAGGUGCGAAAGCGUGAG